GACGAACGCUGGCGGCGUGCUUAACACAUGCAAGUCGAACGGAAAGGCCCUGCUUUUGUGGGGUGCUCGAGUGGCGAACGGGUGAGUAACACGUGAGUAACCUGCCCUUGACUUUGGGAUAACUUCAGGAAACUGGGGCUAAUACCGGAUAGGAGCUCCUGCUGCAUGGUGGGGGUUGGAAAGUUUCGGCGGUUGGGGAUGGACUCGCGGCUUAUCAGCUUGUUGGUGGGGUAGUGGCUUACCAAGGCUUUGACGGGUAGCCGGCCUGAGAGGGUGACCGGCCACAUUGGGACUGAGAUACGGCCCAGACUCCUACGGGAGGCAGCAGUGGGGAAUAUUGCACAAUGGGCGGAAGCCUGAUGCAGCAACGCCGCGUGCGGGAUGACGGCCUUCGGGUUGUAAACCGCUUUCGCCUGUGACGAAGCGUGAGUGACGGUAAUGGGUAAAGAAGCACCGGCUAACUACGUGCCAGCAGCCGCGGUGAUACGUAGGGUGCGAGCGUUGUCCGGAUUUAUUGGGCGUAAAGGGCUCGUAGGUGGUUGAUCGCGUCGGAAGUGUAAUCUUGGGGCUUAACCCUGAGCGUGCUUUCGAUACGGGUUGACUUGAGGAAGGUAGGGGAGAAUGGAAUUCCUGGUGGAGCGGUGGAAUGCGCAGAUAUCAGGAGGAACACCAGUGGCGAAGGCGGUUCUCUGGGCCUUUCCUGACGCUGAGGAGCGAAAGCGUGGGGAGCGAACAGGCUUAGAUACCCUGGUAGUCCACGCUGUAAACGGUGGGUACUAGGUGUGGGGUCCAUUCCACGGGUUCCGUGCCGUAGCUAACGCUUUAAGUACCCCGCCUGGGGAGUACGGCCGCAAGGCUAAAACUCAAAGGAAUUGACGGGGCCCCGCACAAGCGGCGGAGCAUGCGGAUUAAUUCGAUGCAACGCGUAGAACCUUACCUGGGUUUGACAUGGAUCGGGAGCGCUCAGAGAUGGGUGUGCCUCUUUUGGGGUCGGUUCACAGGUGGUGCAUGGCUGUCGUCAGCUCGUGUCGUGAGAUGUUGGGUUAAGUCCCGCAACGAGCGCAACCCUUGUUCACUGUUGCCAGCACGUUAUGGUGGGGACUCAGUGGAGACCGCCGGGGUCAACUCGGAGGAAGGUGGGGAUGACGUCAAGUCAUCAUGCCCCUUAUGUCCAGGGCUUCACGCAUGCUACAAUGGCUGGUACAGAGAGUGGCGAGCCUGCGAGGGUGAGCGAAUCUCGGAAAGCCGGUCUCAGUUCGGAUUGGGGUCUGCAACUCGACCUCAUGAAGUCGGAGUCGCUAGUAAUCGCAGAUCAGCAACGCUGCGGUGAAUACGUUCCCGGGGCU
rnacentral:rRNA from 1 species